GAUGAACGCUGGCGGCGUGCCUAAUACAUGCAAGUCGAACGCAUAGCGAAAGGUGCUUGCACCUUUCAAGUGAGUGGCGAACGGGUGAGUAACACGUGGACAACCUGCCUCAAGGCUGGGGAUAACAUUUGGAAACAGAUGCUAAUACCGAAUAAAACUUAGUGUCGCAUGACACAAAGUUAAAAGGCGCUUCGGCGUCACCUAGAGAUGGAUCCGCGGUGCAUUAGUUAGUUGGUGGGGUAAAGGCCUACCAAGACAAUGAUGCAUAGCCGAGUUGAGAGCAUGAUCGGCCACACUGGGACUGAGACACGGCCCAAAAUCCUACGGGAGGCUGCAGUAGGGAAUCUUCCACACAGGGCGAAAGCCUGAUGGAGCAACGCCGCGUGUGUGAUGAAGGCUUUCGGGUCGUAAAGCACUGUUGUAUGGGAAGAACAGCUAGAAUAGGAAAUGAUUUUAGUUUGACGGUACCAUACCAGAAAGGGACGGCUAAAUACGUG
rnacentral:rRNA from 1 species